AAGGGUUUCGUUCUGGUCGUUCCUAUUGGGUCAAACUGGUCCAGAUAACACCUCCCCCAGGACCGUCCUCCCUUUCCCUUCUAAAUGAAGCAAACUGCAAACCUAACCGGCUGGCACGAGCGUCGCCAGCAGGAGAGGAACUGGCUCCGCUCUCUCACGCAGUUACACGCACGUCGUCGUCUCGAGGGAGGAGUGGGUGGGAGGAGAAGGCGGCGGCGGCAGUUUCGAUCUGUGCUCUGCCUUACGCGGGAGGCAGCGGAUCGAUCUGGACGAACUGGCUGCCGGAAGGAUGGGAGGAAGAAACCAUCGUUGGCCGGCUGGGGGUCAGCAGGUCCGGAUCCGCGCAUUGUCUCCUUAUGCGCCAGGUCUCUUUUUCCAACUUCUUCCUCUUGAUUUCCUGGGUGUUAUUUGGUCAAAGGUGUCCUUGAAAGGGGCAUAACUAUUGGCAGUCUUGGUUCAAAGAGUUUCCUAACAUAUGAAAGCAACAUUCUGUUUGCCCUUUGCUUUAUGAUCGAGUGCAACAUUGUUGGUGGCAAUUGGAUUGAACUUCCUGCUGGGAUGUAUAGCAAAGCAACUCGCAUCAUGUCCUAUUGCCAGCUAGAGUUGGAUUGCCUAUAUUCAGAUUUGGUAAGCCAUGGUCCUGAAGGGGAAUACUCUAAGAUGGCCCUCUUUUGCAUAUUAAGUUUAGACAUUGAAUUUGCUGGUCGCAAAGGAUACUUCCCAGAACCAAAUCAUGAUCCGGUUAUUCAGGAAUAUAUUUUUCAUAUAUCGAUGCUCAUCGUUGCCAUGUCUGGCUCUCUGGUUCAUGCUACACAGAAGCUUAGAUCUGUAAUCAAGCUAUGGAAGAGAGUACUGUAAGAGACACUUCUAUAAGCAGAGUUGAAGAGCUCUCCUGGCUUAACAUCUUUCUAGGAUAAUUACGUCGUUAAAUCUGAAGGAUUCACUCAUGUGCCAAAGCCAGCUCGGGGAAGCCUUCCUGGACUCCUAGUCGACCACGGCAACCAUGACACGAUCUUAAGCAAGCGGAACGCCGAAGGAGGAUCUUGGGGAUGACGGAGGCGUCGAUGACAACCUCAAAGGCGAGAGGUAUUGAGACUGCAAAUUGCUUUCAUGUGGCUGCGUUUCUUACUUUAUGCAACUCCGUCUGUAACUCGGUAUUAAGGCCUUAUAGUUGAUGGGGAGCAACGAAAAACUGAAUUUGUGGAUUUUAUAAUUUGGACGAUCUGUUUGAUAGGUCUGCACUGGUGAUGCGGAACAUUGAUCAGGACAGUGUGGGUUUAGAAAUGAGGAAAACAAAUUGGCUUGCAGGGUUUAGGCUACCCUCUUGUGCUUGUUUUGCCUUGUGAUUACUUGAAUUUGCAACCUGCAGAUUGAAUGGGCACUUGAUUUGUUAGGAUGAAAGGCUGAAGCAAUUAAAGCUGCUGCUCUUUGAGCUGUAGUACAUUUGAUUUGAGAGCCGGAUGAGGUCCGCUAAAUUAGGAUUGAAGUCUGCACCAUAAUUAGGAACACUGAACAAGCAAGGCCAUUUAGAUGAAGCCUGCACUUAACACCGUGCAUCACCAUUGCUACUAGCUAAGUAUCUAAUUGGUAAAGGAGUAGCCUCCCAGAGUUGUAGUCGAAGCUUCACGAACAGUGAACUUGUCCACAAACAGACAAGAUGCUUGCCAAUACCUUGUCAUCUUUUAGCGAAUCUUCCGGAAGAUCAACAAUAUAUAGAAAUGAUGUUGAAUAGCACACUUUUGUUGGACAGUGCCUUGAUAUGGAUGAGAAUGUUAACAAAGCACCAUGUCUUGUGCACCACUCUGGUAAUGUGCACAUGCUCAACGGGAUCUGCAUCAGAUCGGUGGUCUUGGUCUCAUCCAUGUACUGAAGAAAUCAUAUGCUUCAGUACACAUAAAACUUCAGAAAAAAAAUCCAACUACAGUGACAGGAGCAUGGUCCUUCACAGUAAAAAUUUGCAAGAUGAUGACCUUAUCUUGUAAUGUGCUGAUGCAGUGAUACCUUACUCGGAAGUAUAUUGAAGUACAUCACUCCAUGUUAGAACAUACUUCUUCUGUCCGGAAUUGGUUGACGCUCAAACUAAUUCCGGGCAGAGGGAGUAUAUUUCAAUUUUCUUUCAGAGUUGUUUUACAACAUGGCCUAGUUAUGGUUCACUUUCAGUGAACACAAUGAUUAUUAAUUUCAGGUGAACCCCACAAAUCCACAACCACGAGGCACACACUAAGUUUUUCUGAUAAUAUUGUAAAGAAGGUGCCACAGAUUACCGUACCUGAGAUAAAUGUACCAAUUGCUUUUGCAGCAGAACUGUGAACAUCAUCAGCAUCAGCCUACAGGCUACAGCAAAUCUUUGAGAAGACUACACCCACGUGAUCUGAUUGCAGAGCUAACACUUUUGCCUCUUGAGUUGGUGCUGCAUACAAUGAUUUAGUUGAAUAAAUUAAUUUUUUUUAGAAAAGGAGGAUGACCCCCGGCCUUUGCAUCUGGGAGAUGCAUACGGCCACUUUAUUGAUUAUUCUCGAGGACCUUACAAAGAGUUACAACAAUAAGUCUGAAUCCACCAUCUAGGCAACAUAUGCCGCUACUCUUAUCCAUAUGAUGAAGGGGUGCUAACUGGGCCACUACCCAGACCACUCACCUAAUCCUAACAUCAAAAGCCGGAAUCCCCAGCCUAGCUACAUACCGGGUUUGGGGCAUAAACCGGUCUGACGCACUCACAGGUGUCGUCUCCACCAUCUUCCACUGGUCCAUCUCCAAGCAGAUUGAGGUGUCAACCUUGGCAGGCUCCUCCGCCAUCAACGCCACCAUGACGACCACCACCUACAAUAGAACAUCGCCAAGCAGAUGGAGCGCUACCACAAGAUGAAGAUCAGCGGUAGAAUAGAUAAAACGCCGGACACAUUGCCGCCGCCAAACACCUCACACGCACCACAAAGCGCCCACCGUGCUUCCGGGAACCCCGGGCGACGCCUUCAAGAAGGAUCACGAUGAUGGUACGACGCCGUCGCACGCAAGGGGAACUAGAGCUUUAGCCCAAAUGAAGAGCACAGUGAGAAUAAAUUAUAAUGCUGGUAAAGCUCACUUGUUUUCUCCUUUGAUCUGAAUGGCAUGGAAAAUCUUCAUUCAUUUCAUUUAGUAAUUUUACUUAAUUUUCUAUGCUAUUCAGUAAACCUUGCUUUUUUAAAUGAAGCCAAAGCUUUCAUCCCUCUUACAUAAAAGAUAAAACAAAUAUCGGGAUGCUAACAACUACUGUCAGUUUGCUAACAAUCGAUGACUAAUGUGUGUGGACGUAUGAAAAUGGUAGGAUGAGACGCUUUGUGGCCCUGCAGCAAUACA